AUUGAACGCUGGCGGCAUGCCUUACACAUGCAAGUCGAACGACGUCAGGGGGCAACUCCUGGCGAGUGGCGAACGGGUGAGUAAUGCAUCGGAACGUGUCCUGUCGUGGGGGAUAACCAGUCGAAAGACUGGCUAAUACCGCAUGAGAUCGAGAGAUGAAAGCGGGGGACCCGAGGGAAACUGAGGGCCUCGCGCGACAGGAGCGGCCGAUGCCGGAUUAGCUAGUUGGCGGGGUAAAAGCCCACCAAGGCGACGAUCCGUAGCUGGUUUGAGAGAACGACCAGCCACACUGGGACUGAGACACGGCCCAGACUCCUACGGGAGGCAGCAGUGGGGAAUUUUGGACAAUGGGCGCAAGCCUGAUCCAGCCAUGCCGCGUGUGUGAAGAAGGCC
rnacentral:rRNA from 1 species